rnacentral:tRNA from 1 species
UGGGAUGUAGCUCAGUGGUAGAGCUCUUGCAUAGCACUCAAGGCCCUGGAUUCGAUUUCCAGCACCACAA